AACACGCCGCUUCGCGAUUUUCCGCAGUCGACGCGUCCCACCGGGUCACUUGACUAAGUUCCGCAAUAAAGACGCUCUGCUCCGCGACAGACGCUCGCUGGUGACCCACCGACGGUGCGGGACGCUUCCGCCGCGACACGGAAUUUCGCCGGUGUACAUCAUGUGUGUAUCUGACGACGCCCUCAGCGCCGCACCAUGUAUCAAUUAUGCAACAUCACUUCAAAUGUCGCAGUUCAAUAAGGCUGAGAAAAGAGUCUAGACCAGAAGACAUUAUUGCAAAACCAUGCCGAGAAAAUGAUGGAUUCUUACAAGCCUACAGCUGCUUCGAAAAACACUAAGAGUUCACAAUCAGAACCAGAAACACUAGGAGUGCACAAACUGUACCUACAUGCUACCGCAUUUCCCCUUUGUGAAUUGGUCUUUUCUCUACAUGAUUCUAACGGAGCUGGAUGCUGUAAACGAGACUGGGUCAAGUUCAGAAAAAUGAUAGCUGAAAGAAGACCGACAAUCCAUCAGGAGAAA